UGAAGCCAGUGUCCAUCUAGUGGUCAUGAAGGUGGCCUUUUUGUUCACUGGAAUUAAUUUGUUCAGUGGAAGUAUAGGAAAGAGAAGAUGAAUGCAAGAAUUUGCAUUUGAGCAUUGUAGGAGUUGUACUUCCCUAUGUGAUUUAAAUCAAAUAGACCAACAAUAUCAGAAUAACUAAAGAUAGAUAAUGAGGGCUGAUGAAGAAACCAGUAAGAUGUUAAACAGCGUCAGUGCUCCUACACACAUAUUUUCUUGUAAUUUAGUCCUAAUACCCAAUUGUAUGUCUGAAUAAAUAUUUAUGUAGCUUCUUCCCCUCAGAUUUAUUAUUGUGAUAUUUGAAGGGAUUGAUGGUUUCUCAAGAAGACUAUGCUGAAGUCUUGACAAAGGAAAAAUAAAUGUGUCACAGUGAUGUGACCUAAUGGUAUACUGUAGAAUUCUGUCUCCCCAAUCCUUUUCACAUAGAUCCUAUAUCUUGAUGAUGCUGCCAACAACAAACCCUCAACUGCAUUCUCCUUCUGCUUGGAUGGUGUCCGCAAACAUGGAAAGCCCUCAAGAGUACGUGGUGACCAGGGAGUGGAAAAGGUGGACAUUACCCGAUGCAUGUUUUCUGUACGAGGAACAGGACGUGGAAGCUUCAUUGCUCACAAAAGUGUCCCCAAUCAUAGAGAGACUGUGGUGUGACGUGUGGUCAGCUGUCACCUGUAACUACUAUGAUGUACUUCAUACAAUGGAAGAAGAGCGACUGAUUGACCUCUCAGAUGAGAUGCAACUGUUUUGUGUGCAUUAUGAGUUUCUCCCAUGGCUGACCUGCUGUGCCUCCUGGGUAGCUGGAAUAGACAUCCUAUCAGAA